rnacentral:rRNA from 1 species
UACGAAGGGGCUAGCGUUGCUCGGAAUCACUGGGCGUAAAGGGUGCGUAGGCGGGUCUUUUAAGUCAGGGGUGAAAUCCUGGAGCUCAACUCCAGAACUGCCUUUGAUACUGGCGAUCUCGAGUCCGGGAGAGGUGAGUGGAACUGCGAGUGUAGAGGUGAAAUUCGUAGAUAUUCGCAAGAACACCAGUGGCGAAGGCGGAGCUCACCUUG